UGGGGAAUAUUGCACAAUGGGCGCAAGCCUGAUGCAGCCAUGCCGCGUGUAUGAAGAAGGCCUUCGGGUUGUAAAGUACUUUCAGCGGGGAGGAAGGCGAUACGGUUAAUAACCUUGUCGAUUGACGUUACCCGCAGAAGAAGCACCGGCUAACUCCGUGCCAGCAGCCGCGGUAAUACGGAGGGUGCAAGCGUUAAUCGGAAUUACUUGGCGUAAAGCGCACGCAGGCGGUCUGUCAAGUCGGAUGUGAAAGCCCCGGGCUCAACCUGGGAACUGCAUUCGAAACUGGCAGGCUAGAGUCUUGUAGAGGGGGGUAGAAUUCGAGGUGUAGCGGUGAAAUGCGUAGAGAUCUGGAGGAAUACCGGUGGCGAAGGCGGCCCCCUGGACAAAGACUGACGCUCAGGUGCGAAAGCGUGGGGAGCAAACA
rnacentral:rRNA from 1 species